rnacentral:rRNA from 1 species
AGAGUUUGAGAUCAUGGCUCAGAUUGAACGCUGGCGGCAGGCCUAACACAUGCAAGUCGAACGGUAACAGAAAGUGCUUGCACUUUGCUGACGAGUGGCGGACGGGUGAGUAAUGCUUGGGAAUUUGCCUUGAGGUGGGGGACAACAGUUGGAAACGACUGCUAAUACCGCAUAUAUUGUCUACGGACUAAAGGGGGCUUCGGCUCUCGCCUUUAGAGAAGCCCAAGUGGGAUUAGGUAGUUGGUGAGGUAAAGGCUCACCAAGCCGACGAUCCCUAGCUGGUCUGAGAGGAUGAUCAGCCACACUGGAACUGAGACACGGCCCAGACUCCUACGGGAGGCAGCAGUGGGGAAUAUUGCACAAUGGGCGCAAGCCUGAUGCAGCCAUGCCGCGUGUGUGAAGAAGGCCUUCGGGGGUUGUAAAGCACUUUCAGUCGUGAGGAAGGGUUAGUAGUUAAUACCUGCUAGCUUUGACGUUAGCGACAGAAGAAGCACCGGCUAACUCCGUGCCAGCAGCCGCGGUAAUACGGAGAGUGCGAGCGUUAAUCGGAAUUACUGGGCGUAAAGCGUACGCAGGCGGUUAGUUAAGUCAGAUGUGAAAGCCCCGGGCUCAACCUGGGAACUGCAUUUGAAACUGGCUAACUAGAGUGCGGCAGAGGGUGGUAGAAUUUCAGGUGUAGCGGUGAAAUGCGUAGAGAUCUGAAGGAAUACCGAUGGCGAAGGCAGCCACCUGGGCCGACACUGACGCUCAUGUACGAAAGCGUGGGUAGCAAACAGGAUUAGAUACCCUGGUAGUCCACGCCGUAAACGCCAUGUCUACUAGCAGCUCGCCUCGUUAGAGGGGUUUUGCGCAGCUAACGCGUUAAGUAGACCGCCUGGGGAGUACGGCCGCAAGGUUAAAACUCAAAUGAAUUGACGGGGGCCCGCACAAGCGGUGGAGCAUGUGGUUUAAUUCGAUGCAACGCGAAGAACCUUACCAUCCCUUGACAUCCAGAGAAUUUUCUAGAGAUAGAUUAGUGCCUUCGGGAACUCUGAGACAGGUGCUGCAUGGCUGUCGUCAGCUCGUGUUGUGAAAUGUUGGGUUAAGUCCCGCAACGAGCGCAACCCUUAUAUUCCUUAGUUGCUAGCAGUUAGGCUGAGAACUCUAAGGAGACUGCCGGUGACAAACCGGAGGAAGGUGGGGACGACGUCAAGUCAUCAUGGCCCUUACGGGAUGGGCUACACACGUGCUACAAUGGCAAGUACAAAGGGUUGCAAACUCGCGAGAGUAAGCGGAUCCCAUAAAGCUUGUCGUAGUCCGGAUUGGAGUCUGCAACUCGACUCCAUGAAGUCGGAAUCGCUAGUAAUCGUAGACUUCAGAAUGCUACGGUGAAUACGUUCCCGGGCCUUGUACACA